AGUAACUAAUAGUUAUUUUUCUUUGGUAACAAUACCAUUUCGUACACUAGUAGGCAACGGAUUAUCCCUUGGAAAUCCAAAUAAGCACCAAAAUUUUUAUCCAUAUAUUCUGUGGCGUUAUCAAUUCAAGAUUUUUAUAGCUUCAAAUCAUCUGGAAGCAAGAGAAAACCUCACUUUUUGCCUUGACAAUCAGUAAAGAAUAUAGUCUGUACAGGAUACUGACAAAUAGUUGGGGGUUUAAGACAUAUUUCAUGAAAUAGAUAUUAAGCAGCAAAAGAAACUAAACUCUGGUUUGUCCGAAAUGAGCUUAGAAAGUCAUGAUCAUAUUCUCCAAAGAUGCCCUAGUUCUGAAAUUGUUGCUGAUUCCAACUGCAAUUGGGAGUAUAAAAUAUGUGAAUCUCCUAAUGUUGUUCAGCCAAAAGCAGUUAUAGAUCAACAUCCUCCGAAAGCAAGUGUUUGUGCUUUCUGUUAUUCUGCUAAGACCACAGAG